rnacentral:rRNA from 1 species
CGCCUUGCCAGCCCGCUCAGAAACUUAAAGGAAUUGACGGGGCCCGCACAAGCGGUGGAGUAUGUGGUUUAAUUCGAUGCAACGCGAAGAACCUUACCUGGUCUUGACAUCCCGGAGACCCUUAGGAAACUAGGGGGUGCUUCCAUCUGGAAGAAUCUGGAGACAGGUGCUGCAUGGCUGUCGUCAGCUCGUGUCGUGAGAUGUUGGGUUAAGUCCCGCAACGAGCGCAACCCUUGCCUUUAGUUGCCAGCAGUUCGGCUGGGCACUCUAAAGGGACUGCCGGUGUUAAACCGGAGGAAGGUGGGGAUGACGUCAAGUCCUCAUGGCCUUUAUGACCAGGGCUACACACGUACUACAAUGGCCGAUACAAAGGGCAGCGACACUGCGAGGUGAAGCCAAUCCCGUAAAAUCGGCCUCAGUCCGGAUUGGAGUCUGCAACUCGACUCCAUGAAGUUGGAAUCGCUAGUAAUCGUGGAUCAGCAUGCCACGGUGAAUACGUUCCCGGGCCUU